rnacentral:rRNA from 1 species
GGACUACAAGGGUUUCUAAUCCUGUUUGAUCCCCACGCUUUCGUGCCUCAGCGUCAAUGCUUGUUUAGUGAGCUGCCUUCGCAAUCGGUGUUCUAUAUCAUAUCUAAGCAUUUCACCGCUACAUGAUAUAUUCCGCCCACCUCAACAAGAUUCAAGAUAAAUAGUAUCAAUGGCAGUUUCCAGGUUGAGCCUGGAGAUUUCACCACUGACUUAAAUACCCGCCUACACACCCUUUAAACCCAGUGAAUCCGGAUAACGCUUGCACCCUCCGUAUUACCGCGGCUGCUGGCAC